UACGGGGGGGGCAAGCGUUGUUCGGAAUUACUGGGCGUAAAGGGUUCGUAGGUGGCCAACUCAGUCAGACGUGAAAUCCCUCAGCUCAACUGGGGAACUGCGUCUGAUACUAGAUGGCUCGAGUGCAGGAGAGGAACGCGGAAUUCCAGGUGUAGCGGUGAAAUGCGUAGAGAUCGGGAGGAACAUCAGUUGCGAAGGCGGCUCUCUGGACCAGCACUGACACUGAGGCACGAAAGCGUGGGGGAGCAAACAGG
rnacentral:rRNA from 1 species